GGUAACGCGCCGGCAUAUUGGCGAAGGGGCAAGCCCGUCCAUGUGUCAUGCAUGAUUGACACAGGUGACCUCGACAUAUGUUUCUGGCGUCAUCAAUGAUUCGGCAAAUGACCAGCUUUGGUCACUGUCGACCAAAUCUGAUCAUUGGCUGAGCCUUGGACAAUGUCAGAAACAUGCUUCUGGUCAUGACCGCCAAAACACGCCCCUGGUGACCUCGACAGAGUAAACAAAAGAACAAAAUACAAAUCGUCCGAGUCUAGUCCUGAAUAUAAUUAUCUCGAGCCGCCUGUGACCUGACCUCGUGCUGCGUACGUGUGUUGUUUGCCGACUUCUUUGAGCGAAAGCUAAACGGAUUGUACUUGAUUUACAGCUUAUUUCGGCGUUUUUUGAUUACCUUUUACAGCAGCAUGUCCUAUCAGUACAUGGAAUCAUUGCCAGGUCCGGCAUUGGGGAGGUAUCGUGAGAAAUUGCACCUAGUUGGCUCUGACUUAUUAUGUCCAUAUCAGUACCCCGCCGACUCGUGGAUCAACGACCAUCGAGACUGGCCUAAAAUAGAAUACCCGGACAUAUACCACUACCUAAUCAGGACACCAGGAGUCUUUACUGAUCAAGCUAUGACGAACUAUCGUUCGCUAGAAGCACAUAAAUUUUUCCUUUCUUGAUGGGUGCAGACCAUCUUCCAUCAAAAGAUUGGGGGAAACUACAUCUUCAGGUGUGACGUGAAGCCAUCGUGGAGGGUGACGGAGGAGCCUCAUCAUCCCUGGGUUGCUGUCAAUCGGAAGGGCGUUGUAACUGCUGCUCACUGUGACUGCAUGGCAGGGUAUUAGUUCCAUAAAAAUUUCCAUUCCAACCUAUAAACACAAUGUUUAAUGCAAUUGUGGCACAGGCAGGCCCGUAACCAGGAAUUAUUUGGGGGGGGGGGGCAAAUAUGAAAGAAAAAGUACAUCGGCGCGUUCGAACCGCCCGUCGCGCAGCUGUGCAAACUGCAUGAAUCAAAAGAAGAAGGAAGAAUGAACUGCAAGUGUGCUGUCAAACAGUGAUGCUUGGAAUAUCUCCGGAUGGAACCUUGCCAGAUUUAAAACAGUGCAUACUUUUGUUCUACUUUUUUUUUUCAUUGACUUUAUUUCUUAUUAAUUUGUCAAAAAAAAAGAAAAUCUGAGCAUUUUUAAAGUGAUACAAAGUAGUUAUUAGGCAAAACAAAUUUGGUCUCUGGUCAGCGCGCAUUUUUUAAUCAUUUUAUUUUCUCCAAAAGGUUCUACGAUAGCUUCAACAGCGCCCUCUAUUGCCACAAUACCAGGUUUCUUGUAAACAUUUCAAUCAUUUCCCCAAAUGCUAAUUAUGACAGUCUCUCUAUACCGCAUAUUUCACAGUAUGUUCAUUUUGAAUCUGAAUUUGAAUCUGAAAUAAAGGGGCAGUACUGGUCCUUUUGUACUACA